CUGGCUCAGGAUGAACGCUGGCGGCGUGCCUAAUACAUGCAAGUCGAACGAGGUAGCAAUACCGAGUGGCGAACGGGUGAGUAACACGUAGGUAACCUGCCCUUAAGCUUGGGAUACCCAGAGGAAACUUGGCUAAUACCGGAUAACAACAGAGAAGGCAUCUUCUUUGCUUGAAAGGCCCCUUCAAGGGUCACUUAAGGAUGGACCUGCGGCGCAUUAGCUAGUUGGUGAGAUAACAGCCCACCAAGGCGAGGAUGCGUAGCCGAACUGAGAGGUUGAUCGGCCACAUUGGAACUGAGACACGGUCCAAACUCCUACGGGAGGCAGCAGUAAGGAGUUUUCGGCAAUGGGGGAAACCCUGACCGAGCAACGCCGCGUGAGCGAUGACGGUCCUUUGGAAUUGUAAAGCUCUGUUGUAAGCCAUGAAUGACAGCUUGAGGAAAUGCAAGUUGUUUGACGACAGCUUACCAGAAAGCCACGGCUAACUACGUGCCAGCAGCGGC
rnacentral:rRNA from 1 species